AUUAGAAGCGCCUUCCUCGGCGUGGUGCCUUCUGGGGUGGCCGCCCGCGGAAAUUUGAAAUAGCCGCUUGUUGAAGGGUGGCAGUGUGGGGCCUGAGGGGAUGGUACUAGCGCGCCCUGAUUGGGCAGCGGAGGAGGAGAAAGGUUUGUCUCAAGAUGAAAUUUCAUGCUGUGAUUGUAGCUAUUGUGAUAAGCUCAUGAAGGGAAACCCCUUUUCCUAGAAAUUUUCCAAGUAAGUCAACUUCUGUUUUGGGAAUGAGUCAGAGACCACCAAGACUAUACUUUAGAUGACAGAUAAUGGACUUUCACCCUUGAAGACAGCACUGAGGCUUGCCAAGCCAUAUAUCUGUGAAUUUGAAGUGAGCACUUUUACCAUCAAGUAUACGAAAGAGCUCUUCAAUCUGAAGAAAUAUCAGCUGCCUCUGCAGGCAUCACGGGUGACCUUUGAUGAUUUGAGGGUGUUUGAUCAACAACUCUUGAAAUUGUCAGCGAUCCGGAGCUGCAGAGUCAUCCUACAUCCUGUGUUCUGCUCAUGCCUCCUAGGUCUUCAUGAGUUUGACCCCCAUCGUGUGCUCAGUUUUACAGCCAGUCUGCCCCAUCCCUAAGCUCUAAACUUAUUAUCCCAACUCCCAGAUUUCCCCCACUAUCUACUUACUGCUUUUGAAUCUAGUGUAGGAGAAGAAAAUAAUUUCUUAUGAAAUAACAAUUAUAAAUUGUGCAACAUAAACUGAUGCUAUUUAAAAACAAAUGCUUGGAUUUAAGGAAAAAUGUAAUUCUUCAAAAGAAGGAAAAUUAAUGACCUUAGUGAAGUGGUACUUCAAACUUCCAAUAGCUACCAAG
rnacentral:lncRNA from 1 species